UUCAUCGGCCGGGAAUCGAACCCGGGCCGCCCACGUGGCAGGCGAGCAUUCUCGCCACUGAACCACCAA
rnacentral:tRNA from 1 species